AUGGCGGCGGGAGGCGUGUGGGUGUUCCGGAAGGACGGGGUGAUGGAGCUGGAGCGGCAGGAGAGCUCGCCGGCGACGAGCCGACGCGGCAAGGCGCUGGUGUACGUGCCGGCGAACGAGACGAUGCGGUCGCUGGAGGCGCUGGAGCGGCGGCUGGGGUCGCUGGGCUGGGAGCGCUACUACGAGAACCGAGACCUCGUGCAGCUCCACCGGCGCGACGGCGGCGUCGACCUCAUCGCGCUCCCGCGAGACUUUGCGCGGCUUCGCUCCACCCACAUGUACGACGUCGUCGUCAAGAACCGGCAUCAAUUCAAGGUUGUCGACAUCUGA
rnacentral:rRNA from 1 species